rnacentral:sRNA from 1 species
UCGGAUGCCGAUUGUGGAUCCGGCCGAACCGGCUCCCGGGUGGGUCCCGGGGCCGCUCGUACCUCGUUGCUCAAUGGAGGACAUGGCUAUGAGCG